AACGAACGCUGGCGGCAGGCCUAACACAUGCAAGUCGAACGCCCUAGCAAUAGGGAGUGGCAGACGGGUGAGUAACGCGUGGGAACCUUCCCAAUGGUACGGAAUAGCCCAGGGAAACUUGGAGUAAUACCGUAUACGCCCGUAAGGGGAAAGAUUUAUCGCCAUUGGAUGGGCCCGCGUCGGAUUAGCUAGUUGGUGAGGUAAUGGCUCACCAAGGCGACGAUCCGUAGCUGGUCUGAGAGGACGAUCAGCCACACUGGGACUGAGACACGGCCCAGACUCCUACGGGAGGCAGCAGUGGGGAAUAUUGGACAAUGGGCGCAAGCCUGAUCCAGCCAUGACGCGUGAGUGAUGAAGGCCUUAGGGUUGUAAAGCUCUUUUGGCGGGGACGAUAAUGACGGUACCCGCAGAAUAAGCCCCGGCUAACUUCGUGCCAGCAGCCGCAGUAAGAC
rnacentral:rRNA from 1 species